AGGCAGCAGUGGGGAAUAUUGCACAAUGGGCGCAAGCCUGAUGCAGCGACGCCGCGUGAGGGAUGACGGCCUUCGGGUUGUAAACCUCUUUCAGUACCGACGAAGCGCGAGUGACGGUAGGUACAGAAGAAGCACCGGCCAACUACGUGCCAGCAGCCGCGGUAAUACGUAGGGUGCGAGCGUUGUCCGGAAUUACUGGGCGUAAAGAGCUCGUAGGCGGUUUGUCGCGUCGUCUGUGAAAACCCGCAGCUCAACUGCGGGCUUGCAGGCGAUACGGGCAGACUUGAGUACUGCAGGGGAGACUGGAAUUCCUGGUGUAGCGGUGAAAUGCGCAGAUAUCAGGAGGAACACCGGUGGCGAAGGCGGGUCUCUGGGCAGUAACUGACGCUGAGGAGCGAAAGCGUGGGUAGCGAACAGGAUUAGAUACCCUGGUAGUCCACGCCGUAAACGGUGGGCGCUAGGUGUGGGUUUCCUUCCACGGGGAUCCCGUGCCGUAGCUAACGCAUUAAGCGCCCCGCCUGGGGAAGUCAGC
rnacentral:rRNA from 1 species